rnacentral:rRNA from 1 species
AGCGAACGCUGGCGGCAGGCUUAACACAUGCAAGUCGAGCGGGCAUAGCAAUACGUCAGCGGCAGACGGGUGAGUAACGCGUGGGAACAUACCUUUUGGUUCAGAACAACACAGGGAAACUUGUGCUAAUACCGGAUAAGCCCUUAUGGGGAAAGAUUUAUCGCCGAAAGAUUGGCCCGCGUCUGAUUAGCUAGUUGGUGAGGUAACGGCUCACCAAGGCGACGAUCAGUAGCUGGUCUGAGAGGAUGAUCAGCCACAUUGGGACUGAGACACGGCCCAAACUCCUACGGGAGGCAGCAGUGGGGAAUAUUGGACAAUGGGCGCAAGCCUGAUCCAGCCAUGCCGCGUGAGUGAUGAAGGCCCUAGGGUUGUAAAGCUCUUUUGUGCGGGAAGAUAAUGACGGUACCCGCAGAAGAAGCCCCGGCUAACUUCGUGC